rnacentral:rRNA from 1 species
CCUACGGGGGACAGCAGUGAGGAAUAUUGGUCAAUGGACGAGAGUCUGAACCAGCCAAGUAGCGUGAAGGCUGACUGCCCUAUGGGUUGUAAACUUCUUUUAUAUGGGAAUAAAAUGUUCCACGUGUGGGAUUUUGUAUGGACCAUAUGAAUAAGGAUCGGCUAACUCCGUGCCAGCAGCCGCGGUAAUACGGAGGAUCCGAGCGUUAUCCGGAUUUAUUGGGUUUAAAGGGGGCGUAGGUGGAUUGUUAAGUCAGUUGUGAAAGUUUGCGGCGCAACCGUAAAAUUGCAGUUGAAACUGCCAGUCUUGAGUACAGUAGAGGUGGGCGGAAUUCGUGGUGUAGCGGUGAAAUGCUUAGAUAUCACGAAGAACUCCGAUUGCGAAGGCAGUUCACUGGACUGCAACUGACACUGAGGCUCGAAAGUGUGGGUAUCAAACAGGAUUAGAUACCCUUGUAGUC